rnacentral:rRNA from 1 species
UACGGGAGGCAGCAGUGGGGAAUAUUGCACAAUGGGCGCAAGCCUGAUGCAGCCAUGCCGCGUGUAUGAAGAAGGCCUUCGGGUUGUAAAGUACUUUCAGUCGUGAGGAAGGUGUUAAGGUUAAUAACCUUAGCAAUUGACGUUAGCGACAGAAGAAGCACCGGCUAACUCCGUGCCAGCAGCCGCGGUAAUACGGAGGGUGCGAGCGUUAAUCGGAAUUACUGGGCGUAAAGGGCACGCAGGCGGUUAAUUAAGUUGGAUGUGAAAUCCCCGGGCUUAACCUGGGAAUGGCAUUCAAGACUGGUUAGCUAGAGUCUUGGUAGAGGGGGUAGAAUUCCAUGUGUAGCGGUGAAAUGCGUAGAGAUGUGGAGGAAUACCGGUGGCGAAGGCGGCCCCUGGGACAAAGACUGACGCUCAUGUGCGAAAGCGUGGGGAGCAAACAGGGAUUAGAUACC